rnacentral:lncRNA from 1 species
GCGGCGGCGGCGGCGGCGGCGGCGGUGAGCGCCUCGGGGGCGAGCUUGAGGGCGGCGGCGGGCUGCGCCAUGUGCUCGGGGCCCAGCGGAGGGAGGGCGCCGCCGGGGUCGCCGCCCGCGUCCCCCGGGUGGAGGUGGGCCGCGUGGUGGGGGUGGCCGUGGUGGGUGCCCAGCCCCGGGAAGCCUGUCAUGUGCUGGUGCGGGUGGGGCUGAGCCGCUGCCAAAUCCGCCAACCUCAGGGCCGGGCUCCUCUUGCUCAAGGGGGGCUCCAUACCGACACAGCCGGGCCCAUCUACGCCGCCCGGCGGGAUUUUUUUCCCUCUGCCCGCCUUCAAAAACAUGUAUGCACGUUUCAAAGCGGCGGCCCUUUAACUUCUUUUGUCUGCGCUCCCAACUCCGCGCGGCCCCGCGCCCGCUCUGCCCGCCCGCGAUUGGCAGAGCGCGCACCAACAUUUGAGCGGCGCCGCGGGGGGGGCACCGCUCGGCCAAGGCGCCGGAGGGAUUGGCCGGGGCCCGAUGAUUGGCAGCGAGCGGGGCCGCUCCAUUGGCUCCCUUUCAGGCCGCCGGCGCCGCGGGGAUCCGCCCCCGCCGCCCCCCGCGCCCCCCCCGGGGCCGCACUUGGCCAAAACUUCGCGCGGGGCCCCGACGGGGCGCGCACGGAGCCCCCCCGACGGCGGCACCCGCGGGGCCGGGGGCUGCAGCUGCGGCUCCCCCGGGGCCGAGGGGCUCCUCCUGCGAGGCGGAGCCCCCCCGCUGCUUCUCUUUCCCCCCCCACCUCGCUUUUUAAUUUCUUUUUUUUCGGUGCGUCCCCGGGAACGCACGCCCCGAUGCGCCACGCACGCACGCAGCCGAGUGUGCUCCCGGCCAAGGCUCGCUGUUAAAAAGCACCGCCGAGGGAAGGCAGCCAAAAUUUUCCUAAAAAAGAAGGCGGCCGGCGGAGGGGAGGGGGGGUGAAGGGCGGGGAGUUGGGGGGGGGGAUUCCUUCCCUUCGCAAAAUAAACGAGUGAGAGGCGGAGGGGGAAGGUGAGGC